rnacentral:lncRNA from 1 species
CAUUUCUUGCGUAUAGUCCAAACACUUUCUGUCAAAUAUCAAAGUAUUUGUAUUCCCAAAUGAUCGUAAGCAUCUUAAUAGCAUCUAAUAGGCACUUAAAUAAUAUACGGUAAGCAUUUCAGCUGUCCAUUUUAAGUAGUUUUCUCAUACAUUUGUUCACAGUUAAAGUGCUAUUCUUAGCCAGGCAAAAAGUGUUGUUCUCAGUUAGUAAAAAUAUUAUUCUUAGUCAAACCACUAUUAUUAGUUAGGGAAAUUAAUUUUUUAGUUGGGUAAUUGUUUUGCUAAGAACAAGCAAAACAAUGCAUUUGCCUAGGAAAGUUUCUGAUUAAUAUAUUUGGAGUGGAUCUGUUGAUUAUCGGGAUACACAAGGUAGUUCUUCACCCCAUCCAACUUUUUUUUUUGCUAUUUUUAUAAUUUGCUACUAGCUGCUAACUGAUUAGAUCUUUUUUUUCCUCAUUGUAUGGCAGGUCAUGAAAGGAGUCGUGAGAUGCACAGCACCAUGAGUCAUGAUGUUCAAUUUUGCAUGUGAAGUAAAUGUAGAUUUUAGCAGAGGAGGGGGAGGGAAAUCUGUUUGUGUAAUUAGACUUUAUAAACCAAAUUGCACGCAGUUCUGAAUUAUACAAACAUUAGGUAUAAAAUUGCAUGUUAGCUUUUGUGGUUUCUGGGAAAACUUGCGUUGGUCUGCUGGGCAUCACCGGUGCAGCACUUCAGCCUUUGGGUGUGCAGAAAAGGCUGCAAUGGCAGUUUUUUUUCCAAAAAAGGGAAGCGGACAAAAUGUUCACGCCUCUAGUUGCCAUAAAAGGAACGGCCGUACGUUAGCCGGGUCCAUAAAAAAUUCGGCAGAUGAAGGUGUGAUUCAUCUCGCAUAAAAAAAAACGCAGCGACAGUAAUUUCUUUCAUUUUAUUCAUUUUAUUUCAUGAACUCCUGUAAAAAUUAGUCGUGUAGAUUCCUUCUAGUAGAAUCUAUCUACCCGAUUCG